AGGGAGAACUUCUCUUCUUAUGGUCCUCAGGUUGAUGAGGGCUUUUAGUAAAUGAUACUCUAGUUCUGGCUCUUCUGUUGGACUCUUGAGAUUUGUUGUCUUUGAGUCCUUUCUUGUCAUGGCAGAAAAUGUCUCCAAGCCAUACUGCAUUGCAACUGUAGCUGGAAAUUCAAAGAGUAGUCUGAAAUGAUUAGAAGAUCCAUGGGAAUGGAAGCUUUCAGAAGGAGGAAGGCAGGACGGCAAAGGAGCUGUGCCUGCUGGUUCUGCUUGCCUUAUAUGUUGGGUUUCGGGUGAUAAUUCAGUUUGGCCGUAUGCAUGGGAGUCGUGCCGCCUCUAAGCCCAAGAAAUGCCACCCAGGGUCCGGUUCCCAGCCCACAGGCACCAGAGGGAACCUUUCUGUUGACUUCGUAGGGCAGCCGGUCAAGUCCACAGAGACCUGCAGAGCUUCAAACCUCCCUGCAGAGUUUUGCAGAAGCGCUGCUGCUCAGCUCGCUGAUGGACACACACGCCGUCAAAGAUGAUGACUCAGACGUAAAGCCUUCCUGAAAUGUCGCUCUGAAGAAUAAAUGCCUUCCCUCUUGGUAACCGAUACAGUAUUUCUGGCUCUCCAGCUGCAGCCCCAGAUUGCAAUUGCAGUGUCACUUUGGCAGUUGAAAAACCUUGUCAUAGUCAUCUGCUUCGACACCGAGUGUCUAGUCCAACUGACUGCGGGCCUCCACCAGGCUUUGUUUCCCUCACAUGCAGCCAGGAUGCAGGUUUCUAAUGAUGUUUGAUACUCGGGACAUUUGGAGCUGGAAUGCAACCACUUAAAACUGUUUGGUUUGUCACUUUUGGACUUGCUACAUAAGGCUCUGUUAAUACAAACAGGCCUGUUUGUGAUAUUCAUCAGACAGUGGAAGAAAUUCCUCUGAUGUCUGUAUAAUGCAGUGAGCAGACUCCUUGAUUAUUAACAUACUGAUUGUGUACUCUUAUUUCAGUUGUUAGCUCAGCACUGGGGAAAGAGAGCUGGGGGAAUAAAAAAUGUAAGACACAUGACAUGCUUGGGAUUUGGUCUGUGAAACUGGAAAAAAUAUUUACACAG
rnacentral:lncRNA from 7 species